rnacentral:lncRNA from 1 species
CAUGGGAUUGAGAGAGGAGAGGCAAAGGCUCAAAGUGACGCGCGUGGAAUCCUUUUAUAUUGGCCGAGGAGGGAGAUCGGGCAUGGAUGUCGAUGGGCGGCAUUCGGAGCGCCUCUUUUGGAAACUGCGAUUAUGAGAGGAAACUUCAAAUUGAUUGCCCGAAUCGGUUCCUGGGAUGGUGAAGAUUGAUGGGGUGGUUUCCUUUCAAAGAGAGACACGCGGGAAGGAAAAAAAUUGAAGGAAAAAAAUAUGGAAAGAGGGGUUUCCUUUACGUGCAGAGGAGGAAGAACACGAGCACGAGCUUGUGCUCGCUGGCUGGGGUGCUUGGUGGAGAUGGGCCGGCCCACUUUGGGUCGGUCCAUUCUCUUUUUAUUUCUUCUUUUUUUUUUCCAUUUUUUGUUUUUAUUAAUAACUUUUGAUUUCUAACUCUAGUAAAUUUGUAAAUUCAAAUCCUCCAAAGUGUGAACUUUUGGGACUUGAAUCAUUUCAAAAUAAAACAAGUAAAAAUAUUUUUGCUUAUAUAAAUGUCAUUAGGGCUUUAUAAGUAAUACAUAAAAUGGGUUUUGAAAUCUAUUAUGAAACCUUUGUUUCAUAAAUUAGUUUAAAGUCCAAUAAAAUAUUGGGUUGGCAUACUUUGCACUAAAACCUUUCCUUAGCUAAAUACCCCAUUGGGUUGAACUCCAAAUAAUUGAAUUCCAAAUAAAAUCUCAUAAUAAUUAUAUGGUUCAAUAAAUUUCCAAAUAGCUUUAUAACACCGAAUCACAAACCAUGUAAACCAUCGUACAUGUUUCCAACUAUAUAUAUAUAUAUAUAUUUGGGAAGUCACGUAAUCCCACUCUCAACGACGGAAUAAAUGUUGGAAUAACAUUUUCACAUGAGCAUGUCACAUUAUCCUCUUCUCGAAUAUUUGAUAACUUCUUCUCGAAAACAAAAUUAACAUGUCAAAAUAAAAAUCGAGAAAACAUAGGUGCAUCAUUAAAUAUGUUUCCAAUCUUAUAACUAGGAAAGUCAUAUUAUUCCCUCUUUUAUCAUUUAGAUA